GUGAGGUAAUGGCUCAGCAAGGCAUUUGACGGGUAGCUGGUCUGAGAGGAUGGUCAGCCACACUGGGACUGAGACACUGCCCAGACUCCUACGGGAGGCUGCAGUCGAGAAUCUUUUGCAAUGGGCGAAAGCCUGACAAUGCGACGCCGCGUGAGCGAUGAAGGCCUUCGGGUCGUAAAGCUCUGUUGAAGGGGAUGAAAUUCUAAUUUCCUAAUAGGGAAUUAGAUUGACAGUACCUUGCGAGGAAGCCACGGCUAACUCCGUGCCAGCAGCCGCGGUAAUACGGAGGUGGCAAGCGUUGUUCGGAUUGAUUGGGUGUAAAGGGUGUGUAGGUGUCCUUAUAAGUCGAACGCGAAAGCCCGCAGCUUAACUGCGGAACUGCAUUCGAAACUAUUUGGAUUGAGUAUGGAAGGGGAGAAUGGAAUUCCCGGUGUAAGAGUGGAAUCUGUAGAUAUCGGGAGGAACACCAGUGGCGAAGGCGAUUCUCUGGUCCAAUACUGACACUGAAACACGAAAGCUAGGGGAGCAAACAGGAUUAGAUACCCUGGUAGUCCUAGCCGUAAACGAUGGGUACUAGGUGUAGGUCCGCAAGGAUCUGUGCCGCAGCUAACGCAUUAAGUACCCCACCUGGGGAGUACGUUCGCAAGAAUGAAACUCAAAGGAAUUGACGGGGGCCCGCACAAGCGGUGGAGCAUGUGGUUUAAUAGGAUGCUACGCCUGGAACCUUACCAGGACUUGACAUGUAGGUGGUAGUGAACCGAAAGGGGAACGACCUCGCAAGAGGAGCCUAUGCAGGUGUUGCAUGGCUGUCGUCAGCUCGUGUCGUGAGACGUUGGGUUAAGUGCCGUAACGAGCGCAACCCCUAUUUUUAGUUGCUAAUUUUGGUGCUUGCAUCAAGAUGCACUCUAAAGAGACUGCCAGUGAUAAACUGGAGGAAGGCGGGGACGACGUCAAGUCAGUACGGCCUUUAUGUCCUGGGCUACACACGUGCUACAAUGGGAUGUAUAAUGAGACGCAAUACCGCGAGGUGGAGCAAAUCUUCAAAGCAUCUCUCAGUUCGGAUUGGAGGCUGCAAUUCGCCUCCAUGAAGUUGGAAUCGCUAGUAACGGCAUAUCAGCCUUGAUGCCGUGAAUACGUUCCCGGGCCUUGUACACACCGCCCGUCAAGCCAACUGAGUCGGUUGCACCCGAAGUCACUGAUCCAACCCGUAAGGGAGGAAGGUGCCGAAGGAGUGAUCGGGGGGGGCUAAGUCGUAACAAGGCA
rnacentral:rRNA from 1 species